UCGAAUUUCAGUUGAUCAGAAA
rnacentral:siRNA from 1 species